CUUUGAAAGGUCACCAAUCUGAGUCAGAGAGGUCAGAAACAGGCUCAAGACACCAUGGUAAGUCGGAGCAAGGCCGGUGAUGACUCUGGAAUAUUGAAUCGACAGAGAUUUGGGUGCAAACCUUCAAGGUCUUGCCUCGAAUCUUUAGGUAUCAUGUGUGUAAGAGCAAGGGGAGGUGAGUAUAAGACUCCCAUGGCCUGGGAAGCCAUGGAUCCCAGUGAGUUUCAAGGUGGAAGAUGAUGAGAGGUGGCUAGGGUUAGGGAAGAUUCAAGAGAGUUUGAGAUAUGGGGGUUUUCAGAG
rnacentral:lncRNA from 1 species